UGGGGAAUUUUGGACAAUGGGGCAACCCUGAUCCAGCCAUCCCGCGUGUGCGAUGAAGGCCUUCGGGUUGUAAAGCACUUUUGGCAGGGAAGAAACAGCCUGGGAUAAUACCCCGGGCGACUGACGGUACCUGCAGAAUAAGCACCGGCUAACUACGUGCCAGCAGCCGCGGUAAUACGUAGGGUGCAAGCGUUAAUCGGAAUUACUGGGCGUAAAGCGUGCGCAGGCGGUUCGGAAAGAAAGGUGUGAAAUCCCAGGGCUUAACCUUGGAACUGCACUUUUAACUACCGAGCUAGAGUACGUCAGAGGGGGGUAGAAUUCCACGUGUAGCGGUGAAAUGCGUAGAGAUGUGGAGGAAUACCGAUGGCGAAGGCAGCCCCCUGGGCAU
rnacentral:rRNA from 1 species